AAUGAACGUUGGCGGCGUGGAUUAGGCAUGCAAGUCGCGCGAGAAAUUUUCUUCGGAGAAUGGAAAGCGGCGGAAGGGAGAGGAUAAGGUAGAAAUCUACCCUCGGGACGGGGAUAGCUGCGGGAAACUGCUGGUAAUACCCGAUAAUAUCUUUGGAUCAAAGGUGUGAUUCCGCCUGAGGAUGAGUCUACUUCCUAUUAGCUAGUUGGCAGGGUAAUGGCCUACCAAGGCAACGAUGGGUAGCGGGUGUGAGAGCAUGACCCGCCUCACUGGGGCUGAGAACUGCCCAGACACCUACGGGUGGCUGCAGUCUAGAAUCUUCGGCAAUGGGCGCAAGCCUGACCGAGCGACGCCGCGUGCGGGAUGAAGGCCUUCGGGUUGUAAACCGCUGUCGUAGAGGAGCAAAUGCAUGGGGGUUCUCCCCUGUGCUUGAGUGAUUCUAGGAGGAAGGGGAGGCUAAGCUCGUGCCAGCAGCCGCCGUAA
rnacentral:rRNA from 1 species